CCCUCCCCUCUGCUUAUUUAACAGUGACAGAAAGUGAACAGGUGUCAGUUGUUCACCUGGAAGCCACUGGGUACAUCAGAAGCGGUCCAAGCCCGACCUGAGACUAAAACUACGUUGACAAAAUCUGAGGAACGAUAUAUCUUUAAUUCAAUUUGUACCAUUAUUUGCACUGGAGAUAAGAAAACUUACAGGCAUGGACAGCAGACUAGUCCUCACUCUCCUGUUUGUGAUGCUGACUGGGUGUUUCAUGGGCACUUAUGCUCAAAACAAUACAACCAGUGUGACUCCAGCAAGCAGCACAAACACUACCAGCAGCAACACCAACACCACCUCCAACACCAACACAACAGCACCAUCCAGCAACACCAGCACAUCAGCAACAACCAGUACGAACUCAUCGGCCCCAAAUGCUACCAGCAUCACAACACCAUCCAGCAACAACACCAUCACCAAUGCCAGCAGCAACACCGGCACCAACACCACCACCCCACCACCAUCCAACACCACUGCAGCUCCAACAACACCUGCCCCACUAGUGCCUAACAGUAAUGUGACAAUUGUUAAUGACUCUCUUACUAAAGAUAAUUGUAGCAAGACACAGCUGUGUGUUUCUCAGCCCUCUGGCUGCGACCCCUCCAGUGGGACAUGUUUCUUCCUUGGUGCCCAACAGCAGGGAGGUCAAAAUUUUAGGUUUUCACUCACAGGAGACUCAGACGGCUACGUUGCUCUCAUCCUGUCACGUAACACUACACAGGGAACCAAUGACACAACCUACAUCUGUGCAAAUAACAAUGGUGUAGUCAAAUUCUUCAGUGCUCUUCUGAACAACGGCAAGCUGACUCUCACAACGCUUAAUGUCAACACUGUGAGGGGCAAAGUCAGUGGAAAGAACAUCCAGUGUCAAUUUGAUGCCACAGUACCAGACUCUACUAGCACCAAAACGAGAGCAGACACAAGCACUACAAGUUUCUCAAUGUCAGUCUCCAAUGGAACUUACAAUGCCGCUUCUGAUUCUUUGGGGAGCCCUGUUUUCCAAAUAAGAACUAAUGUGGUAGAACUGGGAAAUGUUAAUGCCACUAUCAAUAAUCAGAUUAAUUCCAACACCACAGCACCAUCCAACACGACUGCAGCUCCAACAACACCUGCCCCACUGGUGCCUGACAGUAAUGUGACAAUUGUUAAUACCUCUAUUACUAGAGAUAAUUGUAGCAAGACACAGCUGUGUGUUUCUCAGCCCUCUGGCUGCGACCCCUCCAGUGGGACAUGUUUCUUCCUUGGUGCUCAACAGCUGGGAGGUCAAAAUUUUAGGUUUUCACUCGCAGGACAAUCAGACGGCUACGUUGCUCUCACCCUGUCACGUAACACUACACCGGGAGUCAAUGACACAACCUACAUCUGUGCAAAUAACAACAGUGUAGUCGAAUACAUAAGUGCUCUUCUCAACAACGGCAACCUGACUCGCACAACGCUUAAUGUCAACAAUGUGAAGGACAAAGUCAGUGGAAAGAACAUCCAGUGUCAAUUUGAUGCCACAAUACCAGACUCUACUAGCACCACAACUAGAGCAGACACAAGCACUACAAGUUUCUCAGUGUCAGUCUCCACUGGAACUUACAAUGCCACUUCUAGUGCUUUGGGGAGCCCUACUGCCCAAAUAAGAACUAAUGUGGUAGACCUGAGUAAUGUUACUGCCACCAUCACCAAUUUGAUUAGUUCCAACUCCACCAACACCACCACCACCUCUGCGGCUAAUGCAAUUACAAUCCAGCAAUCACUGAUGCAAGCUUUGCUGAUCACUGUUGGCAUCCUGACUCUGAGCUGGCUAUAAGGAAACUGAAACCUGCCCUACAUUAACAGAUUAAAACUUCCCUAUCCAACCAUGCUACUAUGUUUAAACUCACAGGUUUACUAUCAACAGUAUGUCCCAGACUGCUAUGAUUAAUUUGUGUGAAAGGGUCACAUUACAAAUCAGAAGGACUGGUGGAGGGCAAUCACUUUCAUGAAGCUUUUUUUUGACUGCUUUUACAAGCAGUUAGAGAUUUUGUUGGAAUCUUUUGUAGAACUCUUUAAAACGGUGUGGUAAGAUGGGGCACAACUGAAUUAUUAAGAGUAAACGAACACAUAGUUUGAAUUAAGUGAACCACAAUCACGGCUGUUACCAGUGUGUGUAAUUUAUGCACAUUUUGGGUAAAGGGUCUGGUACCCUUUAAACCCACAUUUUUAUUGUUAAGCAAAAACAUUUGGUGAGUUUAUGGUUACUUUGAUUGUUAAACUGCUAAACUGUGUAAAAACAAACUGCUGGUAAAUUUAUCAAGACAUUUUGUCAAAGAGCUGAAGAACCAAGAGGCUUUUGUUAACCAUUGUUUGCCUUUGUCUACCCUUAGAACACCAAAAGCAAAAUUCAUUUGCUGAUGAUGACAAUGAUGCCAGCAAAUGGCAGAGGUGCAUUUAAAGAAAAUUAUGUUCUGAUAAUAUAUUUCUAUUAUAUGUUGUUGAUAUGAAUGUUGGUUGUUCAGCAGUGCCUUUACGAUGAUGCCUUCAGUGGCUGAUGUUCACAUGUGUUGCUUGCUUUUUAGCAGCUGUUCACAAAUAAUGCUAUAUUUGGUACUACUGAAGAUGCUUGUGUAAUGAUUUUGUAUUACAUGUUUAUGAUUAAAUAUUUAUCAAUAAAUUAUUUUGUGUUUUCUGAUGAAUCUUACUAGAUUUGAAUUUGAACCUUUAACGUUUAGUCAAUUUCAGUUAUGGGUGUUCUCAAAUGAAAUUACUUAAAACUACAAUAUUUU
ensembl:lncRNA